rnacentral:rRNA from 1 species
UACAUGUGGGGCAAGCGUUGUUCGGAAUUACUGGGCAUAAAGGGUGCGUAGGCGGCAUGUUAAGUCAGGGGUGAAAUCCCACGGCCCAACCGUGGAACUGCCUUUGAUACUGGCGUGCUUGAGUGCGUGAGGGGUAACCGGAACGAGUCGUGUAGCGGUGAAAUGCGUAGAUAUGACUCGGAAGGCCAAAGGCGAAGGCAGGUUACUGGUACGCAACUGACGCUGAGGCACGAAAGCGUGGGGAGCAAAC